rnacentral:lncRNA from 1 species
UAUCUGGGCCUCAGUUUCCUUAUCUUUAAAGAGAGGUUGGAUUAAAUGAUAGCAAAAGUUGCUGUAACAGUGUAACCAGCUGACUCUCGGGAUGUGUGUGUGUGUGUGUGUGUGUGUGUGUGUGUGUGUGUGUGUGUGUGUGUGUGCUUCCGGCAGCUGUCUUUGCUCAGACCCCCCGGAGCCCCCGCCCCCUUUCCCAGGCUCACUGUGCAGGAGAAGCACCGGGCCUCCAGUUACCCAGUGUUCGCCCUCCCACUCUCCCACUCUGUUGCCCUUGUCCGUGCAAGCCCGCCGAGUCCUGGAGGCAGCUGUCCUGACAAGCUGGGAGGCGGCCGCGAAUGCCCCUGACUUUAAGACUGGCUGAGGCUUCAACCCAUCCUUUCGGGAGGGGGAGGUUUCAUAUGACGACUUCAGCGCCCUCCUGGGUUGAUUCUGGACUAAGAGAGUCGGCACAUAUCCGUCUUCUCCGGACUGGCUCUAAUCACAUCUGGAUCCCAAGGGCAUUGGUACGCAGCGGAGCCCCCGGGAGCUCCGCAGCCUCCUGCGAGGGGCAAAUUCCUUCAGUCCGGGGCAUUUCCCCUCUUCCUCUGACUUUGUGCCCAUCGGCUGAUUUGGGUUCAUGGAGCUCGGGUUGUGGUUCCUCUUUGGACUUACAGUGACCACCGCAGGAUUCUUGCCUCCGACAGUGCCUCGCCUGGAGCCAGCGGCAGCCAGAGGGGGCUGGGGCCCUAGGGUUCCCGAAGCCCGGGAAAGCGAUGGAGAAGAGAAAGAAGCAGUAGCCGUCGUGAUGGUCACGGAGCUGAGCCCGACUAGGGCCGGGCAGGACAAGGGCUCGGCUGGCCCAGGGAGCCCCGGAAAGCAUCAGGAGAAAGCGCUGCGCGCAAGAGAGAAAAGCGCUGCACUUGCUACACUUACAAGGACAAAGAGUGCGUGUACUAUUGUCACCUGGACAUCAUCUGGAUCAAUACGCCAGAACAGACUGUACCAUAUGGGCUCUCCAAUUACAGAGGCAGCUUCCGGGGCAAGAGAUCUGCAGAUCCUAUCUGCAGGACUUUGCCACCAUUUGAAGGGCCACGGAACCGAUGUUCUUGCACGGAACAAGAUGAUGAUGCCUGCAUUCGUUUUUGCACCGGAACUGAGGACAACAGAAGCAAUUCAAGGACAGCAGGAAAACAUCAAGACAUGGACAUGGAACAGCCUCCUGAAAAGUGGCCCUGACAGCACAGAUGCAUGAACAGAG